rnacentral:rRNA from 1 species
UACGGAGGGUGCAAGCGUUGUCCGGAUUUAUUGGGUUUAAAGGGUGCGUAGGUGGCGAGGUAAGUCGGAUGUGAAAGCUCGGAGCUCAACUCCGAAAUGGCAUUGGAAACUACCUUGCUCGAGGGUUGGAGGGGGGACUGGAAUACUUGGUGUAGCAGUGAAAUGCGUAGAUAUCAAGUGGAACACCAGUGGCGAAGGCGAGUCCCUGGACAACUCCUGACACUGAGGCACGAAAGCUAGGGGAGCAAACAGG